AUUGAACGCUGGCGGCAUGCCUUACACAUGCAAGUCGAACGGUAACGCGGGGCAACCUGGCGACGAGUGGCGAACGGGUGAGUAAUGCAUCGGAACGUAUCCGAUAGUGGGGGAUAGCUCGGCGAAAGCCGGAUUAAUACCGCAUACGAUCUACGGAUGAAAGCGGGGGCUCGCAAGACCUCGCGCUGACGGAGCGGCCGAUGUCAGAUUAGGUUGUUGGUGGGGUAAAAGCCUACCAAGCCUGCGAUCUGUAACUGGUCUGAGAGGGCGACCAGCCACACUGGGACUGAGACACGGCCCAGACUCCUACGGGAGGCAGCAGUGGGGAAUUUUGGACAAUGGGCGCAAGCCUGAUCCAGCCAUGCCGCGUGCGGGAAGAAGGCCU
rnacentral:rRNA from 1 species